UCCAGACUCCUACGGGAGGCAGCAGUGAGGAAUAUUGGUCAAUGGGCUUACGCCUGAACCAGCCAAGUCGCGUGAGGGAGGACGGCCCUACGGGUUGUAAACCUCUUUUGCCGGGGGACAAACGGCGGCACGCGUGCCGUCCUGAGGGUACCCGGAGAAAAAGCAUCGGCUAACUCCGUGCCAGCAGCCGCGGUAAUACGGAGGAUGCGAGCGUUAUCCGGAUUUAUUGGGUUUAAAGGGUGCGCAGGCGGCACGGCAAGCCGGCGGUCAAAUCGCGGGGCUCAACCCCGCCCAGCCGUCGGAACUGCCGGGCUAGAGUGGGCGAGAAGUGCGCGGAAUGCGUGGUGUAGCGGUGAAAUGCAUAGAUAUCACGCAGAACUCCGAUUGCGAAGGCAGCGCACCGGCGCCCUACUGACGCUCAGGCACGAAAGCGUGGGUAUCGAACAGGAUUAGAUACCCGUGUAUC
rnacentral:rRNA from 1 species